GACGAACGCUGGCGGCGUGCUUAACACAUGCAAGUCGAACGGAAAGGCCCUUCUUUUGUGGGGUGCUCGAGUGGCGAACGGGUGAGUAACACGUGAGUAACCUGCCCUUGACUUUGGGAUAACUUCAGGAAACUGGGGCUAAUACCGGAUAGGAGCUCCUGCUGCAUGGUGGGGGUUGGAAAGUUUCGGCGGUUGGGGAUGGACUCGCGGCUUAUCAGCUUGUUGGUGGGGUAGUGGCGUACCAAGGCUUUGACGGGUAGCCGGCCUGAGAGGGUGACCGGCCACAUUGGGACUGAGAUACGGCCCAGACUCAUACGGGAGGCAGCAGUGGGGAAUAUUGCAAAAUGGGCGGAAGCCUGAUGCAGCAACGCCGCAUGCGGGAUGACGGCCUUCGGGUUGUAAACCGCUUUCGCCUGUGACGAAGCGUGAGUGACGGUAAUGGGUAAAGAAGCACCGGCUAACUACGUG
rnacentral:rRNA from 1 species